GGUUAAACAGAAAGGUCUCAAAGAGGUUUUAAAGGUCUGUCUCUGUCGGUUACAGCAGACCAACGUCAAACAUUGUUGUUCCCAUCAGUCACUUAGACAGACAAACAUACAGGUUGAAAAAAAAAAAAACGCCCAUGACCGCUUUCCCCUUUUUAACCUCUAAUUUAGUCUUUUUCAGUUAACAAAGUCACCCAUAUUCCAACACAGAGUCAAACACAUUGUGCCAAUAUUAAAAAAAAAUGAACGUAA